rnacentral:lncRNA from 1 species
GAGAAGGGAGGAGUUAUUCAGGCCUCCGCCAGCUUCUAGGCCCUGGGGAUGGUCUUUCACCUCCCUCUUUCUGAUCUCUUUUUCAUGCUCCUCCUUGCUCCAAAGAAAAGCCGGAUGGCAAAAGAGCCCAGAACCUAUUGGAACUGACAAAAUCAAGUCACGGCGCCUACAAAGAUGAGGGGCAGAUUCUGGCUGCCUUUUAAUUUCGUCCUUCACCUGAUAUCUGUGCCAGAGAAUGAUAAAAAUCAUAAUAAAGGAAAUAAUGGAAGAGGAGACUUAUGUUACUGGGGACAUCUAACAUAAUUAUUUUCCUGAUUCAGUGGCAUGGUUCAGUCUUCCAGGAGUUCUGCUACAGAGAAGAGAGUAACCCCCAUCCAUCAUGGCCAAAGCACCCAGUCAGGCUCCGCUCUGGAUCCAGCCCGACAAAUGCAACCCUUGAAUAGGGUUUGUGCAAGCAAACUGGAUGACGACCGAAGAAACCCUGUCGCUUCUGAGAAGACACCCAAUCCAAGAAUGUGAGUUCUGGAAAUGUCAUUAAAUGUCAGUUAUAUACAUGC